CGUAGGUGGCAAGCGUUGUCCGGAAUUAUUGGGCGUAAAGCGCGCGCAGGCGGUUCCUUAAGUCUGAUGUGAAAGCCCCCGGCUCAACCGGGGGGGGUCAUUGGAAACUGGGGAACUUGAGUGCAGAAGAGAAGAGCGGAAUUCCACGUGUAGCGGUGAAAUGCGUAGAGAUGUGGAGGAACACCAGUGGCGAAGGCGGCUCUUUGGUCUGUAACUGACGCUGAGGCGCGAAAGCGUGGGGAGCAAACAGGAUUAGAUACCCUGGUAGUCCACGCCGUAAACGAUGAGUGCUAAGUGUUAGAGGGUUUCCGCCCUUUAGUGCUGCAGCUAACGCAUUAAGCACUCCGCCUGGGGAGUACGGCCGCAAGGCUG
rnacentral:rRNA from 1 species